rnacentral:rRNA from 1 species
UACAGAGGGUGCAAGCGUUAAUCGGAGUUACUGGGCGUAAAGGGCGCGUAGGCGGAUAAUUAAGUCAAAGGUGAAAGGCCAUGGCUCAACCAUGGGAUUGCCUAUGAUACUGGUUAUCUAGAGUGCAGUAGAGGGGAGUGGAAUUUCCGGUGUAGCGGUGAAAUGCGUAGAGAUCGGAAGGAACACCAAUGGCGAAGGCAACUCUCUGGACUGUAACUGACGCUGAGGCGCGAAAGCGUGGGUAGCAAAC